AUGCAUAACUGGCUAAAGACUAGAAGAGUACCCAGUGUGCAAUGUCUCCUAAGUAGUGUAUGCAGCCUAUUGAUUGUAUGGGUUCCCCUAAGGGACCUUGGAGACAGCC
ensembl:snoRNA SNORA70 Small nucleolar RNA SNORA70